rnacentral:rRNA from 1 species
GGGUGAGUAACACGUGGGUAACCUGCCUGUAAGACUGGGAUAACUCCGGGAAACCGGAGCUAAUACCGGAUAGUUCCUUGAACCGCAUGGUUCAAGGAUGAAAGACGGUUUCGGCUGUCACUUACAGAUGGACCCGCGGCGCAUUAGCUAGUUGGUGGGGUAAUGGCUCACCAAGGCGACGAUGCGUAGCCGACCUGAGAGGGUGAUCGGCCACACUGGGACUGAGACACGGCCCAGACUCCUACGGGAGGCAGCAGUAGGGAAUCUUCCGCAAUGGACGAAAGUCUGACGGAGCAACGCCGCGUGAGUGAUGAAGGUUUUCGGAUCGUAAAGCUCUGUUGUUAGGGAAGAACAAGUGCGAGAGUAACUGCUCGCACCUUGACGGUACCUAACCAGAAAGCCACGGCUAACUACGUGCCAGCAGCCGCGGUAAUACGUAGGUGGCAAGCGUUGUCCGGAAUUAUUGGGCGUAAAGGGCUCGCAGGCGGUUUCUUAAGUCUGAUGUGAAAGCCCCCGGCUCAACCGGGGAGGGUCAUUGGAAACUGGGAAACUUGAGUGCAGAAGAGGAGAGUGGAAUUCCACGUGUAGCGGUGAAAUGCGUAGAGAUGUGGAGGAACACCAGUGGCGAAGGCGACUCUCUGGUCUGUAACUGACGCUGAGGAGCGAAAGCGUGGGGAGCGAACAGGAUUAGAUACCCUGGUAGUCCACGCCGUAAACGAUGAGUGCUAAGUGUUAGGGGGUUUCCGCCCCUUAGUGCUGCAGCUAACGCAUUAAGCACUCCGCCUGGGGAGUACGGUCGCAAGACUGAAACUCAAGGAAUUGACGGGGGCCCGCACAAGCGGUGGAGCAUGUGGU